rnacentral:sRNA from 1 species
AAAAACAUACAUACGAUACAAGCUAUAUAUGGACAUUAGGUAAGUAAAGAUCUCCUAAGAAUAUGCUAAACACGUCGCACUCUAUACAAGACCACAUCGUGUAGACAAAUCACUAUCGUACUAAAGAAAGAGACAUGACCUAACGUUUGGUUUGCUUUAAACACAUGUGAUCUUCUUUUGACGUGGGCGCUUAAGCUUCAACGGCUACAUGAGGAGUCUUCUAGGUCUUCUAGAAGAGCUUAAGGUGAAGAAGAGUUUAUGUGGGCUUCUCUCAUUGUGAUGUUGUACGGAUGGGCUUCUCUUCGUCCGUACGGUCGUCUAGGUUAACUUGCGGAAGGGGUUUCCUUCAUUAGGUUCAAUAA